ACCUCUGAAAACUUCGGCAACAACCACCUACUGUCGUGGCUGGAGCCCCCCAAAAACCAGACCCUGAAGAAGGACUCCAAUACAAGUCGUUUCUUUGGGAGCUAAUCCCAGCGUUGGGGUGGAGGACUGAGACAAGGAAGGGAAAGAAGCUAAUAAAGAGUCCAAUGGCAAGCAAGUGCCCACCAUGGGCAAAUGGAGCCAUUCCCACCGGGGAACUCUGGGAGGCAGCAAGAACAUCCCACCGGGGGAAGGCCAAGGAGCUGCGUGAGACAGUCACUGAUUCCUGACAGCUAAUUAUCGGCCUCCUGGGGACAAUUCCUUCCAUAUGGAGCCUGGAUCUCAGAGACAAUUACAACCUCUUCCUCUCAGGAUACUCAA